CUAUGCGCCUUCGCCACGCCCGCUCAAGAAACUUAAAGGAAGUGACGGGCCCCGCACAAGCAGCGGAGCGUGUGGUUUAAUUCGAUGCUACACGAAGAACCUUACCAGGGUUUGACAUACAAGUAGUAGGGAAAGGAAACUGGACCGACCCUUCGGGGAGCUUGAACAGGUGCUGCAUGGCUGUCGUCAGCUCCGUGUCGUGAGAUGUUCGGUUAAGUCCGCUAACGAGCGCAACCCUCGCUGUGUGUUACAAGUGUCACACGGAACUGCCGGUCAUAAACCGGAGGAAGGUGGGGAUGACGUCAAGUCAGCAUGGCCUUUAUAUCCUGGGCUACACACACGCUACAAUGGGAAGGGACAAUAGGUUGCGAAACCGCGAGGUGGAGCCAAUCCAGCAAAACUUCCCUCAGUUCAGAUUGCAGGCUGCAACUCGCCUGCAUGAAGUUGGAGUUGCUAGUAAACGCAGGUCAGCCAUACUGCGUUGAAUACGUUCCCGGGGCUU
rnacentral:rRNA from 1 species